rnacentral:rRNA from 1 species
UGCUCAAUGAACAUUUUAAAUAGCCGCGAUUUUCGUGCUAAGGUAGCAUAAUCAUUUGCCUUUUAAUUGAAGGCCGGUAUGAACGGUUUUACAUGCAACCACCUUUAUUUUUUAAACUCCUUUAAAUUUUCAUACAAGUAAAAAGACUUGUAUCUAAUAGGAGGACGACAAGGCCCUGAUGAACUUUACUAUAAGUUUAGCUGGGGUGGCAACAAAACUAUUUCUUUUCAUUAUUUUAAAAAACAACUCUUAAGAAUUUACAAGUUACCACAGGGAUAACAGCAUAAUUUUUUCUUGGAGAUCUUAUUUAAGAAAAAGAUUGUGACCUCGAUGUUGAAUUAUUAUUCUAUUAGGAGCAAGAUCUUAAUAAGAAAGUCUGUUCGACUUUUAAAAAAAUACAUGAUUUGAGUUCAGACCGGCGUGAGCCAGGUCGGUU